GGGCCCGUAGCUCAGCCAGGAUAGAGCGCUGGCCUUCGGAGCCAGAUGCCCCGGGUUCGAAUCCCGGCGGGCCCGCCA
rnacentral:tRNA from 1 species